rnacentral:lncRNA from 1 species
CCUCACUGACCCUUCCAGGGAAAGCCUGUCCGGACGAGCCUCUCUUGCGUUACCGCGGGACAGGGCAGGGCGUAAGGGACAAACAAAGCCCGCCGAGCCGUCCACGGGGCCGCGUCCCGGCGGAAGGUGCCCCGGUGCCCCGGUGCCCCAGCCGGGGCGGGCUGAGGGCGGGGCGGGGCCCGGGCGGUGGCGCCCCCCGGCGGGACGGGCGGCGGCGCCUGCGCAGUGCGGCGGCGGCGGUGGCGGGAUGGAGCUGGCGCGCGCGGGGGGCACGGCGGCGCUGGCGCGCGAUGUGCUGGAGCGCGCGCAGCGGCGCGCGGCGGGCGCGCUCCCGGCCAGCGCGGUGCGCGCACCCGCGGACUCAGAGACAGAUACGGACAGAGAUCUCGAGAUACGCAGAGAUGCACGGAGAUCCAUCUCCCCACGGGCCGCGGGCCCGCCCGGACACGCCGCCGCGCCCAGCCCCCCGCCCCGCCAGGACGAAGACCGGGAACGCCUCAGUACAGCGUUCGCUUCGAUUAAGAAGCUGAUGAAAGGAGUCUCAAAGGAAUGCGAGAGGUACUAUGGUGCUAUGGCAACCAACAAGUGCAAAGAGAAUGAAAUCCAACACUUCUGCAAAUACCAUGGCAAGGCAGUAGAAACAAGGACACAUUCCACAGAAGAGAGGAGGACUGAAGGUUCCAGAAGACACGGCAAAGGUAGAAGUGGCCAGCAAAGUCCCAGAAGAUCUUUGAAAGACUUCUACAUUGAAGUUUCUCCUGGCACCUAUUCUGUCACAGCCAUCUCAGAAGACAUGGUGGAACAAACCCACGUAGUAGAUGUCAAUGCAGGACAAACUAUUGAUAUAACUUUUGUUCUGUGACAUUUGUUUCCUGUCAAUAGCAGAAAUAAAACAUGAGGCUGUUUUUAAUGCAUGUAAUGAGCUAUAAAUACCUUUUUCUUGUUAGCACUUUAAUAGUAGCUUCCUCUUUGGGACUCCAUUUGUAUGGGCUGUAUAUUUGUUUUCUACUUAAUGCAAUUAUAUGCAGCCCAUUUUGUACACUGAUUUUUAUAAAUAUUUGUACAUUGUGUGCCUUUUAAAUCCAAUUACAUGACUGUGCAAUUCCAGAUUCUUCUGCUCUAAACAAUUAAAGAUAUAAUCAGUGAAAUAAAGUACAUGAUCAAGCCUUUGUGAUGACAGCUUCUUUUGUAUUAUCCUCGGAGAGAACCCCUAUGUCACAGUGUUGACCAGAGAGAGCAUGAU